CCUGCCCUGCCCUGCCCUGCCCUUGCGAGACGCGGGCACCGCCCCGAAGCGGCCUGCCCGCGAGCUGUGGCCCCGGGCGCCGGAGCGAGGGGCUAAUGGUGCGAUCCCAAAAUACUUGCCUCGCUUUCACGAUCUCCCUCGCUGCCUAAAACUUUGCGGUCGCUCAUGCACUCGACAAACGCGCCGGGUCAGAGCCUCUCUCCAUCUCUGCCCCGCUCGUGCCUCGCUAAGUUAUCCAGGCCCCCUCAUUUCAUAAUUAUGGAGUGUGGGCGAAACCCGCAUCCCCUGGCCCUGGUGGAGCCCACAGCCGGGCGGGACUGGCAGAUCUGAUCGGUGCGAGGCGCCCACAACCCGGGCGCUGGCCGGUCCCUGCGCGACUGGGCGCACCGGGGCCCAAACGCUGCCGGGCAGGCAACCGCAGCCAGGAGGAGAGACCCUGCCUGCCAGGCUGAGGGGGGGUGCGGUCCCGAGCGAGGACCCCUGAGCUGAGGGCCGAAGGGUGGGCUGCAGCUGAGCAGGGUUCCAGGACAGGAGCCGCCGGCGGGGGAGAAGGCGCCUGGCCCUGACCGGGUGGUGUCCACAGGAGGCUACGGAGCCGGGAGGCGCUGUGCUGGGUCAUCGAGGGUCUGGGGCUCCCGCAGAACGGUGCAUUCCGGUGUCUAAAAUGUGACCUCUUGGGCUGCAGGGAGCCUCGCGCAGAACGGGGUCCCAGCUGUGGUCCGAGGCGGGUCAGGGGGUCAGGACGCUCCUGGACCAGGCCAGAGAGGAGGGGGAUGGAGGGGAGCCGCGUGGACCACACAGUAUUGCCCUCUGAGGCCUGCCUUGACGCACAGCUGGUUAAGCCAGCGCUUGCAACCGCGGCAUCCCAUCGCGGAGCGGCAGUACCGGGUGCCCCGCUGCCGGUCCAGCUCCCUGCUCAUGCUACUGGGAAGGCAUCCCAAGAUGGCCCACGUGGGAGUGGCUCCUGGCUUCUUCCUGGCCCAGCCCUUGGCUGUUGCAGGAUUUGGGGAGUGAACCAGCCGAUGGAAGCUCGCUCUCUCAUCCUUUUCUCUGUCCCUUUGCCGUUCAAAAUUGCUUCCUGCCUGUUCUCGGAGCUCCAAGGGCGUUACAUCACACUACCGAUGAGAACUCCGCCUGUUCCUGCAAAGCAUGCACUCCUGUAUCUGCAUAAGCUCCUGUGCAUCGGGGGCUCAGGAAGUAUUCGGCCAGGGAGAGGUCUGGCUCAGACUGUGCCAAGAUGUGGGUCCCUGUCACCCAUGCGGAAGACCGGAAGGAGUUCCAGGAUCCUGGCUUUGGUGGGGGCCCAGCCCCAGCUGUUGUAAGGCAUUUGAGAUUUUGAGGAAUGAGCCAGUGGAUGGAAGAUCUCUGUCUGCCUAUUUCUCUCUUUCAAGUAAAACAGAAAAUAAACAGCGGCCGGCACCAUGGUGCAGUGAGUUAAAGUCCCAGCCUAGAGUGCCGGCAUCCCCUAUGGGUGCCGGUUCGAGUCCUGGCUGCUCCUCUUCCAAUCCAGCUCUUUGCUAUGGCCUGGGAAAGCAGUAGAAGAUGGGCCAACUCCUUGGGCCCCUGCACCACAUGGGGGACCCAGAAGAAGCUCCUGGCUCCUGGCUCCAGAUCAGCUCAGCUCUGGCCAUUGUGGUCAUCUGGGGAGUGAACCAGUGGAAUGGAAGACCACUCUUUCUCUCUGGCUCUAUCUCUCUUUCAAAUAAAUAAAAAAUAAAUCUUUAAA